rnacentral:tRNA from 1 species
GGUUUUGUCGUUCAAUGGAUAGGACUGCUGGCUUCGAACCAGCCAAUGCGGGUUCGAGCCCUGCCGGAACCA